CCCUUAGAUGUUCUGGGCCGCACGCGCGCUACACUGAUGCAUUCAACGAGUCUAAAACCUGCUCUGAUAGGGGUGGGUAAUCUUUUGAAUGUGCAUCGUGAUUGGGAUAGAUGAUUGCAAUUUUUCAUCUUCAACGAGGAAUGCCUAGUAAACGCAAGUCAUCAGCUUGCAUUGAUUACGUCCCUGCCCUUUGUACACACCGCCCGUCGCUCCUACCGAUUGAAUGAUCCGAUGAAUAUCAUGGAUUGAGGAUGCAAGCAGGUUCGCCUGUCUUCAUCUUCGAGAAGUGAAGUAAAUCUUAUCAUUUAGAGGAACGAGAAGUCGUAACA
rnacentral:rRNA from 1 species